rnacentral:tRNA from 1 species
GCGGUUGUGGCGAAGUGGUUAACGCACCUGAUUGUGGUUCAGGCAUUCGUGGGUUCGAUCCCCAUCAUCCGCCCCA